UACAGAGGGUGCGAGCGUUAAUCGGAGUUACUGGGCGUAAAGGGCGCGUAGGCGGUGAUAUGAGUGUGAUGUGAAAGCCCCGGGCUUAACCUGGGAAGUGCAUCGCAAACGAUAUGACUAGAGUAUAUGAGAGGGUGGUGGAAUUUCCGGUGUAGCGGUGAAAUGCGUAGAGAUCGGAAGGAACGUCGAUGGCGAAGGCAGCCACCUGGCAUAAUACUGACGCUGAGGCGCGAAAGCGUGGGGAGCGAACAGG
rnacentral:rRNA from 1 species